GUCCCCGUAGUGCAAUGGAUAGCAUGUUGGAUUUCUAAUCCAAAGGUCAUGGGCUCGAAUUCCACCUGGGAUA
rnacentral:tRNA from 1 species